rnacentral:rRNA from 1 species
GACGAACGCUGGCGGCUUGCCUAAUACAUGCAAGUAGAACGCUGAAGGAGGAGCUUGCUUCUCUGGAUGAGUUGCGAACGGGUGAGUAACGCGUAGGUAACCUGCCUGGUAGCGGGGGAUAACUAUUGGAAACGAUAGCUAAUACCGCAUAAGAGUAGAUGUUGCAUGACAUUUGCUUAAAAGGUGCAAUUGCAUCACUACCAGAUGGACCUGCGUUGUAUUAGCUAGUUGGUGGGGUAACGGCUCACCAAGGCGACGAUACAUAGCCGACCUGAGAGGGUGAUCGGCCACACUGGGACUGAGACACGGCCCAGACUCCUACGGGAGGCAGCAGUAGGGAAUCUUCGGCAAUGGACGGAAGUCUGACCGAGCAACGCCGCGUGAGUGAAGAAGGUUUUCGGAUCGUAAAGCUCUGUUGUAAGAGAAGAACGAGUGUGAGAGUGGAAAGUUCACACUGUGACGGUAUCUUACCAGAAAGGGACGGCUAACUACGUG